UACAGAGGGUGCAAGCGUUAAUCGGAAUUACUGGGCGUAAAGCGUGCGCAGGCGGUUUUGUAAGCCAGGGGUGAAAUCCCCGGGCUCAACCUGGGAAUGGCAUUUGGGACUGCAAGGCUGGAGUGCGGCAGAGGAGACUGGAAUUCCUGGUGUAGCAGUGAAAUGCGUAGAUAUCAGGAGGAAUACCGAUGGCGAAGGCAGGUCUCUGGGCUGACACUGACGCUCAUGCACGAAAGCGUGGGGAGCAAACAGG
rnacentral:rRNA from 1 species